AACCCAACCCCUCCGGCUCCCCCAGCAGUGAGGCCGAGCGCACACGCCCCCCUCCGCUCGGCUUUCCGCGCAAUUCUCGCGCAACGCACCCCCACCCCUUUUUCUUUAUUAUUAUUUUUUUUCUUCUGUAUGUUUGUUGUUGUUUUCUUUUUCCCCCUUUUUUAUUUUCGCUUUUCCCUCCCCCCACGCUCCCCUCGGAGGAGAAACUUUGCGAGGGGAUCCGCGUCCAGCGUGCAGGGCAGUGAUGCAGCCCCUCUGAUCGCUCUUCAGCCCUGUGAGGGAACCCACAUUGCCUGCAACAGGUUUUCCUUUUACACCAUGGAUGAUGGCCUUUGCUUACUGGGAGCUAAGUUGUCUGGAGGAGACCCAUCUUCAUGUGCUGGCAGCUGGUGAAGUGCAAAUGGAGAGUGACUACAAAGACCAGAGUGUGAGUUACCAGCUGAGACUUUUGGACCUGGGAUAACAAGCUGCAAACCUCUUCAACUGCCUCACGCGUCAAAAGACUCUCCAUCUGUCAUUAAUAUGCAUCAAAGAUAAGGAUGCCUGUGGGUCAGGAUGAGCAGAAAAACAGUCCUACUCUGCAACAGAGAAUUCAAGGAGCCCAGGGACCUAACCCAAAUCUGGAGGGAGAGUUUUAGAAAAGCAUUUAAGUGGCAGGUUCCAGUGCAAGUCAGAACCAUGCUUGUAAAUCAACAAGAUCCUUUAAAAAUCCCACCGUGUCACCUGCCCUCAGCAUCUAGAGUGGUUGUUUAUUUUGCAGACAUCUUCACAAUUCCAUUCUCAAGAUUAUAAUUCACUUGGUGGUACCGCAGUUCUCGCACCCUUGAAGUUAAGUAAAUGGUUAAGUGCAGUGGUGGUUCAGAGCUAGAAGACUCUCUACCUUGCAGGAUUGAGCCCUUUAAUCUAUUCUUAUUUCCUUUUCAAUUUCUGCAAGUAACCCCAAGCAAGCUGGAAACACUAAGUGCAAAGUUACGGGAGAUGACUGUGGCAAUUUCUGAAUGACAAGAGCAUUUAAAAGAAAUGUCAAGAGUCUGUGGGCUGCAAGCUUUUAUGUUUCAAGGAGAAACAAAAAGAAAGGAGGGACAAUAAAUCAAACACAACAGCUUAGCGUGCUCCAUCUCUCAGAGUUAACCUCUUGAAAGCCAUGUCCCCGGCACAGAGUGGGCCACACUCUUUGAUAGGGUCCAUUAUUCUCUGUAGAGCAAUAGAGGUGGUAUGGUGGGCUCCUCCGUGCGUGCCCAGGGGCUGUGUACACUGCGCCUUGCUUAACAUGUGCUCUGCAUUUAUGGGUUAACAUCAAACAUGAGCUGAUUUAUAAUUCUUAAUCAAAAAAGGAUUAUAACCUAAUAAAUCCUACUAACAUAUU
rnacentral:lncRNA from 7 species